rnacentral:rRNA from 1 species
GAUGAACGCUAGCGAUAGGCCUAACACAUGCAAGUCGAGGGGCAUCACAUGAAGCAGCAAUGCGGAUGGUGGCGACCGGCGCACGGGUGAGUAACACGUAUGCAACCUGCCUACAACAGGGGGAUAACCCGUUGAAAGACGGACUAAUACCCCAUAAUACAGGGGUCCCGCAUGGGAAUAUUUGUUAAAGAUUAAUCGGUUGUAGAUGGGCAUGCGUUCCAUUAGCUAGUUGGUGAGGUAACGGCCCACCAAGGCAACGAUGGAUAGGGGAACUGAGAGGUUUAUCCCCCACACUGGUACUGAGACACGGACCAGACUCCUACGGGAGGCAGCAGUGAGGAAUAUUGGUCAAUGGACGCAAGUCUGAACCAGCCACGUCGCGUGAAGGAAGACGGCCCUACGGGUUGUAAACUUCUUUUGUAAGGGAAUAAAGUGUAGUACGUGUACUAUUUUGCAUGUACCUUACGAAUAAGGAUCGGCUAA